UCACUGCUGGUAGGCUAGGUAGUAACAUGGUCUGGCUGCAAGGCUGAAUGCAACACCCUGGCGGUUGGUGGACUUCCUACAUAGAGCUUUAAACUAGGUUCAUCGGGGGAUGGGGAUGUCAAAGACAGGGCGAAACCAGGAAAGGCAGCCAUGAACCACAUGCAGGAAUAGACUAGAAAAUACAUGCUCAAGAAGCAUAUGAAGUAGUCCUCAACUGAUGCGAUUAGGAACUAGCACGUGUGACUUCUUUGUAAAAUCUGUAAUGCACUGUCUGGAGAGGAAACCAAAACUUUCAACAUGCCAGCACAAAAGAAAGUUUACUAGAGAUAGAUAUUCCCUUAGGAAGCACAACAGAUAAUGUUUACUAGAGAGAGAUUCUCAUUGGAAAGAGAUUCCAUUUGGGCAUACAUUGUACAUGGAAAACUCUCUAAACAAACAGAGCAAAAGAUCAAUAUUGAAUUUAAAAAAAUUUAAAAAACCCACUACCAACCACUCAGGAUCCUAUUGAGACAAUUGUUCUGCUUCUGCGGCCCUUCUCUUCUUUGUGCUCUUAUGUUGCCAUUCAAAAUCUCUCUCUUACUUAUGGGAUUUACCAAGAAGUUAUAAAAGACUUCAUAGUCAAAAAUAUGACUGACUGUAAUAUUAUUUUAUGUCAAGUUAACCUAUUGACUUAUAAAAUAAAUUAUUU